UUAUUUGAAAUGAUAUUUAAGUUUUAUUGUUCAUUAACAUUAGUAUUAAAUUCUCCUCCGGCACGUUUAUUUGCUGUUUCUGCUGAAAGAAAAUACCUUGUAAUAACUAAAACUCACCUGACUCCUUGCAUGGAAGUAAACGUAAGUUUUAUACUUGUGUUUGAAUACUUUCAUAUGACGUAAAAAAAA